rnacentral:rRNA from 1 species
CAAAUUAGUACUAUUAAACUAAGAUAUAUUUUACAAUAUUUACAUUUAUAGCCUAUAAAGAAAUAAUCUAUUUCUUAAUUUAGUUUUAUUAAUAUUAUAAAACUUUAGUAUCUGGGGGUUAGAUUCUUGCUUUAUAGACAUUCAGCACUUAUCUAUUAUGUUUGUGGCUACCCAACUAUGCAUUCAUAAAAUGUUAUCCUAUAUCCUAUAUUAAAAAGGUAGAACUUUUUAAAAAAAAAGUUACAGGGACUUUCCUUUGUUUUUUUUACUUUUGCCUUCAAGAUACUAAGAGUCCCUUACAUUAAUUACAAACAAUUGGUACACUAGAGAAACACAGCCUAUUGAUCCUUUCGUACUAGAAGGUCUGCCCCCUUUUACUAAUUAUCCCUCCAGAAGAUAGGGACCAUACUGACUCACGUCGUAUUAACAAUUAUGUUAUCACUUAGUAUUUUAUCCUAAGUAUCUUACUUUUUCAAGUAAGUUCAGACUAUGUCAUCAACCAUAAUUUUUAUUUUUUUUUAUUAUGAUUGCCGGAAAUUCGUGUUAGGCUUAUUGUUAGUGAUACUCACCUAUUAGUCGUUGAACCUUCAUAACCUUUAUAAUCAAAAGAUAUAACCUUUAUAAUUAUUUCACUAAAUUAUGCUCGGCUGCAAAUUGACUUUUUUUUACCAUUUUUGCUCCAUAAAUAAAAAUAAAAACAAAGGUAAUUUUUAAAGUAAAAUGGGUAUUAAAGUGUUUCUUGCAAUUUCUCCGGUUUUCUUCUAUUUUAGCCUAAUAAUAGGCAAAAGUAAAUAGAUAAGGGGCUUUUUUAAAUUUUUGUUUAUUUAUAUUUUUAUAUAUAAAUAAAAAGUAAAAGUAUUUUAUAAACCUAUUCUAUAUUUCAUAGAAUCAUGGAAAUAUUCACUUACAAUAUUUCUUAAUAAAGUUAAAUUUUUGGCUCCUAUGGUUAAAAUCCAUUGGUUAUUUCGAUCGUGUAGUACUCCAGUAUAUAUAUUAAACUUAUCAUUAAUAGCUAAAGCUAAUCUUUCAACUUCUUCUUUUUUAUAACUAUUAGUAUAAAUUCUCACUCUGUUUCUACCCUUAUCAAAAUUACCAUCUGUCAUAAUUAAAUAAGCUAAAACGAUAGGAUCCAUAAAUUCAAUAAUAUUUUCAGGUACUAUUUUAACAAAUUUAUUUAAAUCUUCGUUGUAUUUAUAAAACAUGCUAUAAUAUGGUACAAAUAAAGGCAAACUUUUAGUUUUUAAUCUAUAAUUAGUAUAAGUUUUAUUAUUACCUUUAACCUCUAAAGUUUUAACUGGAUUACUCAUAAAUUCUUUAAAUAUUUCUCCUAAAUGUAAAGCAAAUAAUUCAUAUUUUUGACCAAAGCUAAUUUCAAAUCUAACAUUUGAAGUAGGAGAUGAUCUAUAUAAACUACCGUCUCCUAACAUGAUACCAAUAAAAAUAGACUUAAGUUUUUUACUAAAAUCUAAGGGACUAAUAGUAUUAAUAAUACUAUUUUUGUUUAAAUUUAUUUUUGUUUCUUUCAUACUUUUACUUUUUUAAAUUUUGAGUUUAAACCCAACUCACGUACCCUUUUAAUCGGCGAACAGCCGAACCCUUCCAAGCUUCUUCCCCCGGAGGAUAGGAUGAGUCGACAUCGCAUUAUAUAUUAGUCUAAAAGCUUAAACUAAUACUCUUAACCUUUCAGUUAAGGUUAGACUAUAUCUUUAUCCAGUGUAAGAAUACAAAAUACAAAGCUUCUGGAUAUUGGCAUGUAGUCGUUGAGGGGUUAAAAAUACUACAGUUGCUUACACCUAAUAUUAAUAACUUCCCUGCUGAUUGUCCAAUCUUUAUAGACUUGCAAAGCAAGUGUAUUUAAAGCUCUAAGGAGGUCCCAGCAUAUAGCCAACUUCUAAAUUAAUAUUUCUAUUAAGAUCCCCCGAUGUCAAAAAUAUCAAACAUAUCAGCGCUAUCGCUUUCGAUAUCAGAUGAAUCUUGUUUUAUUGUUAAAUUCUCAUUUAUUUUAUACAACAUUGAAUCAUGCAUAUGUGGAACUAAAGAAGGUUUAAUAGCUUCAAUUUCAUCUUUUUUAAUAUAAAUUCUUUCAUAAAUGGCACCAUUAGCACCUUUUUAUUAUGAAUACUAGUUUCUAAUUUAAAAUUUUCCUUUAAAGCUUCUCUUAAUAAACUAACCUCAUUGGUAUUAUAACUAUCUGUACAUAAAGUUACACCUCCUUUUUUUACUUGUUGACCAUCAUCUAUUAUCCAAAAAGCUAAACCAGUUCUACCAAUAUGAGCAUCCCCUAAUAAAGAACCAACUAAAAGAUCUUUAAUUUGUUUAUUUAAUUUUUCUCAAUUUUUAUAAAAAAUAUUUCUGUCUUUUAAGACAUAUUAUAGCUUAAUUUUAAACUAUAAAUGUUAAUAAAAUAAUUAAAUAUAACUUUUUUUGUUCUCUUGCCUCCUUUUGGUUUAUACCAAAAGGUAUAAACUGCGAGUCCUUUUGGUUUAUACCAAAAGGUAUAAGAGCAUAGGAAAUAUCAGAUUUUUAUACUAUUUGAUUAUAUAUUAUAUAUUUUUGUAAAAUUUAAGGUGCCAAACCGCGGAGACAAUGUGUACUCUCGUCCGCGAUCAGCCUGUUCAAAAAUGUUAAAUAUUAAGGCUCUUUAUCCUUAAUUUCCAUUUAUUACUAAAUGGUUCAGACUAUGUCAUCGUCUUUUGCAUUGUAAAUUAAAUUAUGGUAAUUUCUUAACCAUAUCUGAAAUAAUAUAAUUAUCAAUAUUACUUCUAAAUAAUGAGUAGCUAUUAGAUUUUAUAACUAUAACUUUUUUUCCUUUAUUUGAUCUUACUUCAGUAUUAAAUUUGAAUUUUUCUGAAAGUUCAUUAGCCAUAUUUAAUACUUCUAAGUCAGUAAAACUUUGCCUCUGAAGGUAAAUUUUAUUCAUUUUUGUUUCAUUUAAUAAAUGUUAAUUAAAAAGACGUAGGGCGCUCGUGGAAAGAUUAUUGUUAGCAUACUCACUUUCUAGUCGUUGAACGUUCUAACCUUUAUUCUUUAAUAAAAAGGUUUUUAAUAUAAACUUAAAAUUAAAGACUGCUUAGGUAAGCUUCGCUGCAAAUUGACUUAUUAACUAAGUUGUUUUUGCAUUUCACCCUAUUUAAUAUUGCUUUUCUCAAAGCAAAUGGACAACAAAUUUAUCCCUAGCGUAACUUUUAUUAAUUGAUCCCCGUCUAUCCCAUACUAUAGCGAGGGGUCACUAUGCCCUACUUACGUAUCUGUGCGACUUUUGAGUCUUUCAGUUAAGCAUGCUUAUCGCCAUUGAGCCCUGCGCAACCCUUCACUGGUUGAUUGAUCUCCAUUCAAUUUCUAGCUAUACCUUAUAAAUUAUAUAUUAAAAAUAAAAAAUUAAAAAUUUAAACCUUAAUUAAAGCUAAAAUAAAGCCAUAUAAAUAUAAUUAAUUUGACCAUAAUUAGAUUAUAUAAAUAUACUUAUAAUAGUUUUAAAAAGAUUAAACUUUUUUGUUAUAAAACUUUAUCCUCCAGCUUUUUAUAAUAAUAAAAAUUGGAUUUUUAUUAUUAUAAAAAUUUAUAUUUUUAUUUAUCUUUUGCUCUUGCCUUUUGGUUUAUACCAAAAGGUAUAAACAUGAAAAAGCAAGAGAUAAAAAAUAUAAAUAAAAAAAGGAAGGAGAGAAAAGGUUUGUUUUUACUUGUAGUUUGAUAUAUUUGGAUGUACUUUGCUACUCUAUUAAAGACGACCGCCCCAGUCAAACUGCCAAUUAGUCAACUAUCCCUGAGAUUUUAAAUUUUAAAUUAUCAGGUAAACACAAACCCAACCUUGUUUAUAAGGUUUCCACUAUUUAGUCUAUCGACAUUCCUAUUCACUAUUAAACAAGAUUGUUCUAGAUUUAUAUGAUAACUAACUACAGUAAAGCUGCAUCCCGUCCCCCUGGAGGCAACGCGCAUCUGCACGCGUAAUUCAAUUUCACUGAGCAAGUUGUAGAGACAGUGAGACCAUCGUUACAUUAUUGAUACCGGACCACAUUUAAUGGCCAACUGAUUUUGCUACCUUAGGAUCCUCAUAGUUAAGACCGCUAUUAACCAGAUUUUCGAUUAGUCACAGUAAAUAAUAACCAUAACUUUUCUUAUAUUAAUGGCAUCGGGCAAAUUUCACACAGUAUACUACCAUAUUAAUGAUUGCACUGUGUUGUGUUUUUAGUAAACAGUCGGGGCCUCCGAUUUUGUGCCACCUUAAGGUAUAUUACUUAAGGUACCUCUUGUCGUCAAACUUUGCAGGUGUACUUGCCGAGUUCCUUAACAACUUUUAGCUCUACGCCUUAGUAUACUCUACCUACGAACCUGUGUCGGUUUAGGGUACGGUAGUUUUUACCCCUCCUACGGAGCUGAAGUCCGAAGGAUUUUUAUUUAUAUUUUUAUAAAAAUAUAAACAAAGGGAGGAUAAAAUUAAAUAUUAUUUUCCUGGUCCAUUUUUUAAAUAUUGGACUUUCUAUUUAUUACUCAUCAGCCAUAGCUUUGGCUAUAGUCCUUAGAGGCCGCAUUAAAACAAAACGGUUUAACCUUUCAUAUUUGCAACCCUUUCGUAUUCGGCGAAUUCCAUUAUAGGAAUUUUUUACGUUACUCAUGUCAGCAUUCUCUCUUCAGUAACCUAAAAAAUAAUGAAACACUAUUUUAUAAACAGUUUUACUGAAUGUUCUACUACCUAGAUUAAAAAUAAUUCUAUGCAACCUAUGUAAAAAUUAUUUUUAACCAACACGAUAUCGGUUGAUUGUUUAAGACCCGUUAAAUUUUCGGCGCUACUAUCAUUUAUUACUUUUUUUUUAAGUAAAAUUACUGCUGAUGCGUUGUUACGUACGAUCAUUAUAAGUAGCGACUGCCAGGCUCACUUCACAGCUGUAUACGAUAUUGCUACGUCCUUAAUUUCACUUAACAAUCAUUUGGGACCUUGAUCAGUGUUCUCGGCUGUUUCCGUCUUGACUGUCCAACUUAGCAUGAACAGUCUGAAUAUCUACCAUCAAUUUAUGUAAUUCCGAGAUUCGCUUCCAAAGGUAAGAUUUUCGAGGUCCCCGCAACCUAAACGUAUAAAAUUUAAAUAAUUAUUUAAAUUAAACUUGUUGGGAAUCGCCUUGCUGUACCUUCAUAAAUCUAUAGAUAGACAUCAUACUUAAAUAUGUUUCGGUAGAAAACCAGCUAGCACCAGGUCAGAUUGGCAUUUCACCGCUUACCAAAACUCUUCGGAGAAUUAUGCAACAUUCAACCGUUCGAUCCAUUAUAAUCUGGUCUUGGUAAGAUCACCUGGCUUCGGGUCUAAUAGAAGUAACUUACCCAUCACUAUUUUUAUAGUCCAGUCGCUUUCGCUAAGGUUUGAACCUUGCUACUCCUAUUAACUUGCUGACCCAUUAUGCAAAAGGUACGCCGUCAUUUCUUUUUACUUUUGUAAUGAAACUUCGACUGCUUAUAGAGUUACUAAUUCACGAUCUUUUCACCCAUACCAUAUUUUAUAAUUUAUAUACUUAUUUAAUUUUUUUAAACUACCUCUGCUCUAGUUUCCUCCUCUAGCUCUUUGGUUUUCAACCUUUGUAAAAAGGGUGAAAACAAAUGCAAGAGUUUUUAUUUAUAUUUUUUAUAUAUAAAUAAAAAAGAGGGUUCUAGAAGAGAUAGUUACAAAAAUAAAGAUAAGUAAUAAGUUAAAUUAAUAAAAAAAAGAUAAUAUUAUAAAAUAACACUACCUUUUUUUUAUUUAUGAUAUCUUUAGUAUACUACUUGCUUUUCAAAAUUUUCCUUUACAGUACUUUUCGCUAUUGCUAAAUUUAUAAUACUUAGCCUUAGAGGAUGGUUCCCCUAUAUUCCGACAAGUUAACUCUCAUCGUACUUUAUUCUAACUAUUCCCCCUUCCAGCUUUUUAUAAUAAUAAAAAUUGGAUUUUUAUUAUUAUAAAAAUAUAAAUAAAAAGAAAGGAGAAGUUAGGCAAUUUAUUUGUUAUUAACUCUACAGGACUCGAAUACCUUAUUUUGUACAAAAUAACAUGAUUAAUAUAUUUACUAAUUGUUCCUAGGACUUGCUUUGCUAUUUAUAUUUUUAUUUAUAAAUAAUUGCUUAGCUAGGCUUUGAACAAUGUUUAAUACUUAAACUAUUAUUUUGUCUUUAUCGGUUUAAUAAGAUUUCAAGUUAAUAUUUAAAUUUUUUUGUUACAAAUAGAUUAGGCUAAUCCGAUUUCACUCGCCAUUACUUUCGGAGUCUCGGUUGAUUUCCUUUCCUUUCCUUACAUAAAAUGUUUUACUUCAGGAAGUUUUUUUUAAUUAAGGUUUACCUUAGGAUCGCUUUUUUAUAUAAUAUUUUAUACUAAUUUUACUUUAUAUAAAGUAAAAUUUUGUUAAAAUAGAUCCUUUUCCUACUAAAAUUCAGAUUUAAAGCUUUUGGUAUUUACCUCCUUUUUUAUAAAUUUGCUUUUUUGU